UGCCUCUGUGUCCUAUAGGUAACAUACAUAGUCGCAUUUGUCAUCCAUUCUUAUGAUUAUUCAGAUUGAGUUAUUUUGGGAGAAAAACGACAAAAAAGGUAUCCGGAUAUGAUUCCGUCAUCGGACUGACUUAUUGUCAUAGAAAAGACUUCCGGUUUGAAAGAUGCACAAAUACAACCAAUCGUAUGAUAGAUAACAAAAAUGAAAAAUAAAUAAGCCAAUCAGAGCGUUCUCCAUAUCAUGGUGUUUAGAUCGCAAGAACCACAAUUAUUAUACCUCCAUAUAGAGGACAAUUAUUUUUCGCGUUUAUCUACAUGUAAACUACGAUUAUACUACUUUAAUAUAUAGAGACACUCUGUAUUCUGUCUACUGUUUUCUUUGAAAUGUUGACUAUUUAA
rnacentral:lncRNA from 1 species